rnacentral:lncRNA from 12 species
UCCGCAGGUGGUGGGCAUAUACGCAGGGCGCCCUGAUUUUUACCCCCUGCCAGCUCGGCCUUGCUGUACUCAUGUUACAUUGAAUAAACUGAGGCUCUGAGGUCCCUCAGCUACCAGAAGGCAGAACCAGGAGUGUGACCACUCUGGUCUGCCACUCACCAUAUACAGCCUGUCCCUGCUCCCUGGAGACCCUUCCUGGGCAAAGCUGCACCCGAAGAAAGGGCUGCUACUCCCCAGGAAGGAUGAGUGGGGACCAGGUCAGUCCAGGGAGAUGAGCACCACUGCCCCUGCCUCUCCAUGGAGGAAAGAUAGAACUGGUUCCAUGAGGCUGGCUGGCGGCAGAUGUGGCUCCGGGCAGGACCCCAGGACAGAGAGUUCCAGCCCUCUAAGAAAUCUGUGGGGGCAAGUGCCCCAGGCUUCAGGCUCUUUCCUCUGCAGGUGUGGGGAGCCAAGAAUCCUCAGGUCAUUGGACAGAGGGAGGGAGCGGUACAGGCCAACCCAGGCAGCUCUUGGCUGUGGAGUCAGAUUACCUGGUUUGAAUCCUGCUCUGCUGCUUGCACCUGAAUCAUUCAUUUUGUGCAUAUGCGUGAGUUAAUCUGCCUGUUCUGUUUCGUGGGGGUGCGGGGGUGGGGGGAGUAGGGGGGUGGGCCGGGGGCGCUGUAGGAGGAUAAUACUUCCUGGGUGGUUGAGAGGAUUCAAUUGAAUGACUCAGGAAAAGGUUGGGACACUGGACCUAGCACAGAACUCUUGCCUUGUAAUCAGCGGGGACCAUCAUUGCCACAUGCACGAGCCAUGCAUGGUUAAGCAGCUUCCUACAGAGAACAGGAACUGAGCUUGUUUGAAGGAGACCUAGGAGAUUUUAGGGUUGGGGGUGACCAAUGGGACCCUGUGAGCUCUGGAGUGAUGAGAACAGGAACUACCACCCCAAGCGUGGUUUUCAACUUAAGAGUUGAGUUCUACUACUCUGUCAUAACACCACUUCAACAGCUGAGGAAGUACCCAGAUUAGAUGUCCUAUCUUAUUCUCAAGUGUGAAUGACUACCUCUCCCAAGGCCAGCAAGUCAGACUGGCACAGAAAGAGACGCUCAGCUUAAUGAAGUAGAUGGGGAUCCCACUGGCCCUCCAGGCUAAACCUUGGGGAUCAGUCUUGGCAUCACUUCAGACUUAUCCUGUGACUUUAAGUAAAUCCAGUUUCCAGUAUCCCUGAGGGUAAUUCCACAGUCUGGUAGAGGGUGAGCCCCAGGGGUUAGAGCAGGGCACUUCCUCAUCUGUCCCCCAUUCACAGAACCUUGGGUAGGCUCUGGUUUGGAGAGGGGGGCGAUGUUCAGGUCAUCAGGCUAUUGGAUACAGAGAGAGACCAUUUGCCCUAGACAAUGAGACCUCAGGACCUGGUGGCAGGAGGGAGAUAGAUGUAUUCGUUUCCUGUUGAUGCUUAACAAAUUACUACAAACUUAGUGAGUUAAAACAAUACGAACUUAUUAUCCUACAGUUUUGGAAGUUGAAAGUCCAAAAUGGGCUGGCAGGGCUGCGUAUCUUCUGGAGUCUCUAGGGGAGGGGAGGGUAGCUCCCCUUGCCUCUUCCAGCUCCUAGAGACUGCCUGCAUUCCUUAGCCUGGGACCCCACAUCCCUCCGACCUCUGCUUACUUCAUCACAUCUUCUUUGACUCUGGCCCUCCUCACUCCCUCUUAUAAGAAUCUUAUGACGACCGUGGGUCCACCCAGGUAAUCCAGGACAACCUCUCCAUCUCAAGACCCUUAAUUUAAUCACAGCUCCAAGGCACCUUUUGCCUGGCAAGGUAGCCUAGUCUUAGAUUCCAGGGGUUAGAUGUGUAUGGGAGGACCCCCAACCCCCCAAACUGCUCCCCAUCGGGGCCCCACAGCCUGAAUACUGGCAAUGGCUGAGUUUGGCCAGCACAGGAAUCCUCUUACUCAGCUCAAGUGGCAUCUCUUGCUGUUCGUGGGAAUAGCUAUAAAUGACGUAUGGCUCCAGCAUACCAUCUGGCAAGACGGGGCAAAAAACCCUAACAGGCAGCGACCCUUUGACCCAGGAAUUCCAGGAAUUUAUCUUUAAAAAUGCACUCAUGAGUAGCCAAACAUAUACAUGACAGGGCUGUAACUUGCAGGUUUCCUUAUAUCAGGAAAACAUGGAAGCCAACUUACAUGUUCAGUGAUGGGCACAUUGAACAAAUCAUGGAAUAUUCAUAUGAUAGAAUCCAAUCCUGGGUGUCACCACAAAUGUUAGAGAGUGACACGGAAAUUUAUUUACAAUAUACUGUUAAGUGAAGAAAAAUAGGCUUCCGAAUAAGUAUGUUCAGAUCCUACUUUUUUUUCAAAAUUUUAAAGAUUUUGGGCAGCCCUGGUGGCCCAGCAAUUUGGCGCUGCCUUCGGCCAGGGUGUAAUCCUGGAGACCCGGGAUCGAGUCCCACAUCAGUAUCCCUGCGUGGAGCCUGCUUCUCUCCCUCUCUCCCUGUGUCUCUGCCUCUCUCUCUCUCUCUCUGUCAUGAAUAAAUAAAUAAAAGCUUUUAAAGAUUUUAUUUAU